CCUACGGGAGGCUGCAGUGGGGAAUAUUGGACAAUGGGGGCAACCCUGAUCCAGCCAUGCCGCGUGUGUGAAGAAGGCCCUCGGGUUGUAAAGCACUUUCAGUGAGGAAGAACGCCUGGUGGUGAAUACCCAUCAGGAAAGACAUCACUCACAGAAGAAGCACCGGCUAACUCCGUGCCAGCAGCCGCGGUAAUACGGAGGGUGCGAGCGUUAAUCGGAAUUACUGGGCGUAAAGCGCGCGUAGGUGGCUUGAUAAGCCGGUUGUGAAAGCCCCGGGCUCAACCUGGGAACGGCAUCCGGAACUGUCAAGCUAGAGUGCAGGAGAGGAAGGUAGAAUUCCCGGUGUAGCGGUGAAAUGCGUAGAGAUCGGGAGGAAUACCAGUGGCGAAGGCGGCCUUCUGGACUGACACUGACACUGAGGUGCGAAAGCGUGGGUAGCAAACAGGAUUAGAUACCCCAGUAGUC
rnacentral:rRNA from 1 species